rnacentral:rRNA from 1 species
CACGUAAGGGGCAAGCGUUGUUCGGAAUUAUUGGGCGUAAAGGGUGCGUAGGCGGUUUUGCAAGCCUGGCGUGAAAUCCUGGGGCUUAACCCCAGAACUGCGUUGGGAACUGCGAGACUAGAGUCAUGGAAGGGGAGUUGGAAUUCCAGGUGUAGGGGUGAAAUCUGUAGAUAUCUGGAAGAACACCGGUGGCGAAGGCGAACUUCUGGCCAAUGACUGACGCUGAGGCACGAAAGUGCGGGGAGCAAACAGGAUUAGAUACCCUGGUAGUCCGCACCAUAAACGAUGUACACUAGGUGUUGGGCCGAGCGGCUCAGUGCCGAAGCUAACGUGAUAAGUGUACCGCCUGGGGAGUAUGCUCGCAAGGGUGAA